rnacentral:lncRNA from 1 species
CAAAAAUGAAAAACGGCCAGAGAAGCUGAGAGAAGGAGAGAAGAAUUGAGAAGGAGGUAGAGAAGGAAACAAGAUAGAGAGAAAGAAAAGGGGGAAAAAAAGGUGGAAAAAGAAAAGGAAAAAUGUAUUAUUGAAGAAGAUGAUAUAUGGACUCAAAUACAAGUUUCAUCCUUUCUUCUAUUCUAUUCCAAGAGGUAAGAAAAACUUAUUGUUAUUCAAUAUUGUUAGAUUUGGGUUUGUAGUUAGUGGCCUAACUUAAAAGAUUUGGAGGAAAGAAUAGAUAUUGGAGUUGAAAAUCUGUUAAAGGAAUAUGAAAUGGGUUUGUAAAUUAAAGCAUAAAUCUUUAUAUUUAUAGUGUAUAUGAUACAAAACAAUUGAUUUAUGAGGAAUUACAAUGAAAUAUGGAGUUGAGGUUGGAUUUUGGUUUUUUUUUUUUUUUUUAAACUAAUUUUCGGGCAAAAUGAAUGCAUAGUGCUAUUUCUGAAAUUGUGCCCAGAAAGUGUCAUUUCUGUCAAUAGUUUUGGUGGCAGAUAUCCAUUUUCUAGAAUUUUGGAUUUCCAAAUUUUAAAAGGCUUGAAUGAAGUUAUAUAACAAGUAUUGAGGUUUAUGUAUUGGAAUAAAUUAUGUAUAUGGCUUGUAUAUGUAUAAGUUAUUGAUUUUAAGGAAGUGUGGGUAAUUUAAUAGAUUUGAUAAUGCAUGAUAUUUAGUUGAUGAAUUAAUAAUGAAAAUGAAAGUUGGGGAUUGGAGAUGUAAGAGUAAAUAUAGAAGUUGAGGAGUUAAGUGGUGGAAUUGUAUUAAUUUAAUUGUGAUGUUUUAAUUUGAGUAAUUAUACAAUUAUUUCAAGUAGUGACGUGAAAGUUUGGAAAAACUUGUCAAUUUAGCCAGAUUUUUAUUUAUAAAUCUGUGAGUGGAAAAAUAUAAAUAUUUUUAAAGUAUUUAUAAAUUAAGUAUAUUGUCAAAGUACUUGCAAUUAUAUGCAAUUAUAUGUUCGAUUACAUGAUUAUUUUGGAAAAAUCUCUUUCAUUAAGAUGUUUGGGGAACUCAAAGAUUAGAUAUGAAAAUACUUGUGAUGUGGAAUGUGAGACAUAUGAUAUUGAGAUCGAUCAGAAAAAUACCCAUGAUUAUAUAAUUCUUCUAGUUUACAGAGGGGCAUUGGCCAUGUUCUAUCAUAUACGGAGGGUCUUGACCUGACAUUGGUCUUGAUCAUAUACAUAUAGUUCACAGAGGGGCUUUGACCGUAUUCUAGAAUUGAUUAUGAAAGGUCUUUGAGACCGGCUUUCGUUCACGGAGGGGGCCAAAAGCCUGUGGUGAAAGUUCUUAGCCCGAGGGGCGGAUUACAAAUUUUAGUCAGAGGGUACAUUUGUGAUGGAUCACAUGUAAUGUGAUGAGAUGGUGGUAUAAAUAUCAGCUGAUGACUAUAUCGUGGAUAUGAGAUGAUAUUUACAGAGUUGUGAGAAUGUCUCACUUUUUGUCUAUAUUCGUAUGAGGCUAUCAUGUGAAGUAUUAAAUGAUAUGAACUUGAUAUUUGAUAAAAAUGUUUAAAUGAGUAAGCAUAAUUAUUUUUGAAUUCUUCCAUUCACUGAGCUGUCAACUCAUAUUUUCCUAAAAUUAUUCUUACAGGCAAUAUUGGUUUUUUUUAGUUGGAAGAGCCUAAUGAUAUUGGAAUGAGAGUCA